rnacentral:rRNA from 1 species
GUAGGUGACGAGCGUUAUCCGGAAUUACUGGGCGUAAAGCGCACGCAAGCGGUUCUACAAGUCUGGCGUGAAAUUCUCUGGCUUAACCAGGGGGGGUCGCUGGAGACUGUGGGACUUGAGGCGAUGAGAGGGGUGCAGAAUUCCCGGUGUAGUGGUGGAAUGCGUAGAUAUCGGGGGGAAUACCAGUGGCGAAAGCGGCACCCUGGCGUCGUACUGACGCUCAUGUGCGAAAGCGUGGGGAGCGAACGGGAUUAGAUACCCCGGUAGUCCACGCUGUAAACGAUGAACACUAGGUGUGGGUGGAGUCAAUCUGUCCGUGCCAAAGCCAACGCGUUAAGUGUUCCGCCUGGGAAGUACGGCCGCAAGGCUAAA